UAGAUACCCCGGUACUCCUUUCUGUAAACGAUGAAUGGUAGUCAUUAGUAAAAAUAAAAUAACUAGAGGCGAAGUUAACACAAUAACCAUUCCGCCUUGUGAGUACUACUGCAAAGUAGAAAACAAAAAAAUUAGUCGGUCUCGAAGCAAACGGAGUGAAGCAUGUUAUUUAAUACGAUAAUCCGCGUAAAACCUUACCAGAACUUGCAUACAAACUAUAAAUUUUUUUUCCUUAGGGACAAAAAAAGAUUAGGGGUAUUUUAUAAUUUAAAAUACUUAAGUACAGGUGUUGCAUGGCUGUCUUCAGUUCGUGUUGUUAAACAUUAGGUUAAUUCCACUAACGAACGAAAUCCCUGUUAUUAAUUUAUACUUAAUAACUAAUAAAUCUGAUAGAGAUUUAGCGGGGGCUAAGACAAGUCGUUAUGGCCCUCAUGUUCUGGGCUAUAGACGUGCCACAAAAACUUUUACAAAGUGAUGCAAUACUUCCCAAGAGAAGUGGAGCUAAUCAUUAAAAAAAGUGAUUUAUAUUAAAUAUAAGCCGGAUUGUCUCCUGUAAUUCGGAGGCAUGAAGAAGGAAUUCCGAGUAAUCGUUGAUAAGUAGCGCAACGGUGAAGCUAGUUUCGUGAUGAACUAACUGUCUGUCGCUGGGAAGAAGCCUUUAGUGGAGGAAACUGGAGUAAGAUGAUGUUUUUUUCAUAGUAACUCAUUGCUUUAAGUAAAGUAUUUUUAGUAUUAUGAUAAACUUAUUGGAUUUAGUGAAUUCAUUGAG
rnacentral:rRNA from 1 species